CUCUCAUCAUUCAUGUUUCUCACUUGUUUGCUCCCUUCCUCUUAAAUAAGUCAACAGAAAAAUUUCCCCUGAUGAGGAUUAACACAACAAAAUAAGCAGGUAAGGAGGUAUAUAGGCAAGAGAAAGUAAAGAAUGAAUCAUUGUCUUGGAGAGUAACUUUAUAAAAUAGGAGAGUUGGGCCGAAGCUGGUUUGGCUCAAUGGAUAGAGCGUCAGCCUGCGGACUGAAAGGUCCCAGGUUCGAUUCUGGUCAAGGGCAUGUACCUUGGUUGCGGGGACAUCCCCAGUGGCGGGUGUACAGGAGAUGGCUGAUAGAUGUUUCUAACUUUCUAUUUCUCUCCCUUCCUCUCUGUAAAAAAAUCAAUAAAAUAUAUUUUGGGGGGAAAAAACAAAACAAAAAAAAAAUAGGAGAGGUGGAAUAGAAUAAGAAAGAUAUAAUCUCUGUUCUUGAAAAGCAUGAUAUGA